CAGAUGAUGUGCGCUGUGUGUUCCGGCCGCUGGAGGGCGACAGCGCCCCGUCCACGCUGAGAGAGAGCGGAGAGAGAGCCGAGCGAGCUCCGAACGACCAAAACAAUGCGAGCUAUCGUCCAGCGGGUCAGCCGGGCCUCAGUCACAGUGGGAGAAGAACAAGUCAGCUCCAUUGGCCGAGGACUGUGUGUGCUGCUGGGUAUAUCAGUGGAGGACACCCAGAGGGAUGCUGACUACAUAGUACGUAAGAUCCUGAACCUGCGGCUGUUUGAAGACGAGAACGGCCGAGCGUGGACCAAGAGUGUCAUGGACAGGGACUUCGAGGUGCUGUGUGUGAGCCAGUUCACCCUGCAGUGUAUACUGAAAGGCAACAAGCCAGACUUCCACUCAGCCAUGCCUGCAGAGCUGGCCCAGCCUUUCUACGACAGCAUCAUGGAGAACAUGAGGAGUACCUACAAGCCAGAGCUCAUUAAGGACGGGAAAUUUGGAGCCUACAUGCAGGUCCACAUUCAAAACGACGGACCUGUAACCAUCGAACUGACGUCACCUACUGGUCCCACAGACCCCAAACAGCUGUCAAAGCAGGAGAAGCAGCAGCAGAGGAAAGAGAAGACGCGCUCAAAGGGUCCCUCGGAGUCGAGCAGGGAGAAAGGCCUCCAACGUCACAGACAGGACCACAACGCCAGCAGCGGAGCUGAGGGUGACGUGUCGUCAGAGAGGGAGCCCUAGGUCAGCAGGGUGCUGGGUUUAUUGGAGCUUUUCUGCUGUCUGCUGUAGCUCUGACAGACUUGAUGAGAUUUGAGAGCUGCUGUAAAGCUCCACAGAGCUGACGGGAGUCCGUGGAGUCGGAUGUCAUACCAGGGACAUGACUGUGAGCCCAGUUUCCUCAGGAAGACCGUAAUCCUCAGUGACUCUCACACCUGAUCGCGGACUGUCUUCCUUCCUGUUUGGAAAUCGUCAGGAUUCUUUCAGCCUGUCGCAGAACAUCGUCCCCUUGCUGGUGUCUUUGGCUUCUCUCCUCCAGAAUCACAUAGGACUGGCUAGCUGUCAAAAAUAAAUAAAUAAAUAAAAUUUAAAAAAAGAUAGUUCCCACUGUUCUGAGAUUGAAGGGAACAUGGGUGAUAAGAGAUGCACUACAGUGGCUCUAGUAGUUUUCCGUGCACACUCUUAUCGCUGCCUGUCUUUUUAAUGUUUCUACGUCCACCUGCCUCUGCCUCUGUUCACAUUCUCCCUGCCUGCUUCACUCUCCGCUCACUGUUCCCUCGUAACCUCACCUUCGAGACAUGAAGCUGACCCCUGAAACUUCUCUUUGCUCCAAGUCCUUGACUCAUGGUCCAGGCACAAGAACAUCAGGACAGUGAUAAUGUAACAACCUUGCCAUGUAUUGUACCAGUGACACCUCAUGAUUGGUAUAGUUACAUGUGUUUAAGUCUGUUUCACAAAGGGUCAUUGUACCUGUAUGAAUGCACUGUGUUUUGAGGUCCAACUGGAAUCUCUACAGCACACAGGUCUGCUCUGUAAGUGGACACUACCUGUGCCCUCUUCUGAGAAAUAAUCAAAAGACUAGCAACUGCAAAGAAAUGCUAAAAAAAAAGCCUCAACGCAUGGUAAAGGUGCACCACUAAUGUCGGUUUGCUGGCUAGAUAGCCAAUAAGCUAGUUAGGAUAACAGCUUAUUGAAAAAUUGGACGUUUAGAUGCUAAAUGGUUGCUAACCAAAAGCAUAGCAACCAUACAGUUGCCAUUAGGUCGUUUACAUUGUCUCUCUCUGGUUGUAGGCCUGUCAAACUCCACAGGGCCACCCAGGAGGAUCUGUUGUAUCAGACACAUUUUCUUCUUUUAGAUGUUAAAAAGAACAUUAGCAGUACAUUCAAAAAUAUCUUUCACAUGAGCUUUAAUUACAAAAACUGAUGACUUAUUGUGAUUUCAGUUGGACCUUUAAAAUCCUGGAAGACCCUGUGUGUUUGCCCCCACCCCCCACCGAGGAAAUGAUCGCUUGACUGCAGGGAGCGAUGGUGCUGUACCGCUUGCUUCAGCUGCAGUCGAUUUUCCGUCUCGGAUCGAGUAGCUUCGGCUUAGUGACUACGAGUGCGUUUGUCUCAAUUACAUGUACUUUGCCUGUGUGUGUGUGUGUGUGGGGGGGGGGCUGUAUUUCAACUAUCACUGAACACUGACACCAGACUGUGGCCUCACAGAAGUACAUCUACUAUUCAUUCAUGUUUUUGAUGAUUACACUGGCCUGCAGUCCUGUCACAGAUCUGAAUGUACAUUUUGUUGCCAUUUUAUAAAGAUGUUAAUAGAAAAAAA